rnacentral:rRNA from 1 species
GAUGAACGCUGGCGGCGUGCCUAAUACAUGCAAGUCGAGCGAACGGACGAGAAGCUUGCUUCUCUGAUGUUAGCGGCGGACGGGUGAGUAACACGUGGAUAACCUACCUAUAAGACUGGGAUAACUUCGGGAAACCGGAGCUAAUACCGGAUAAUAUUUUGAACCGCAUGGUUCAAAAGUGAAAGACGGUCUUGCUGUCACUUAUAGAUGGAUCCGCGCUGCAUUAGCUAGUUGGUAAGGUAACGGCUUACCAAGGCAACGAUGCAUAGCCGACCUGAGAGGGGGUUGGGCCCAACGGAAACUGAGACACGGCCCAGACCCCCACGGGGGGCCGGAGGGGGGAAUCUUCCGAAAUGGGCGAAAGCCUGACGGAGCAACCCCGCGGGAGUGAUGAAGGUUUUCGGAUCGUAAAACUCUUUUUUUAGGGAAAAAAAUAUGUUUAAGUAACUGUGCCCAUCUUGCCGGUACCUAAGAAAAAAGCCCCGGCUAACUACGG